rnacentral:rRNA from 1 species
AUGGGGGCUCUAGGCCAUCUUCUCCCCAAACUCGGCGCUGUCCUCGCUGGUGAGUUCACCUUGGAGAAACGCGUGAGAAAAGGCAUCGAGUCUCUUGAAACAGAGCUCACACUGAUGCAUGCCGCCCUCCGCAAGGUGGCAAAGGUGCCGCCAAAACAGCUCGACGAGCUGAUCAAGAUUUGGGCAGGAAAGGUGAAGGAGUUGUCCUACGAGAUGGAGGACAUCCUUGAUGCUUUCAUAGUCCAUGUGGAGGAUGGUGGCGAGCCUUCCAACCCAAAGAAGAGAGUCAAGAAGAUACUCAAGAAGACCAUGAAAUUAUUCAAGAAGGGCAAGGUUCUCCAUCAGAUCUCUGAUGCUCUAGAAGAAGUAGUUCAUCAAGCUAAGCAAUUGGCCGAGCAACAUCAAAGGUAUGUGCCACAGAUGCGGGAUACUAGCGUUAGUGCUAGUGUUGACCCUCGCAUGAUGGCACUAUACACAGAUGUGACAGAGCUCGUCGGCAUUGAAGAAACACGAGAAAAGUUAAUCGAUAUGUUGACUGAAGGUGAUCAUGGGUCGAACCAGCAAUUGAAGACUAUAUCUAUUGUUGGAUUUUGUGGGUUAGGCAAGACAACUCUUGCCAAGGCAGCAUACGACAAGAUUAAAGGGCAAUUUCAAUGUGAUUCCUUUGUUUCUGUCUCUCAGAAUCCUGACAUGAAGAAAGUUUUCAAGAAUAUUCUCUAUGAACUUGACAAGGAGAAUCAUGCCCACUAUCGUAACGAAGAAUGGGAAGAAAAGCAACUGAUCGAUGAACUCAUCAAAUUCCUUAAUGGCAAGAGGUACCUCAUUGUAAUUGAUGACAUAUGGGAUAAAGAAGUGUGGAAAUUAAUCAAGUGCGCUUUCUCCAAGAAGAGUCCCGGAAGCCGGCUAAUUACGACAACCCGCAUCAUUAGUGUCUCCGAAGCAUGCUGCUCUUCUAGGGAUGAUAUUUACAUAAUGAAACCCCUUUCUGACGAUGUAUCAAGGACACUCUUUUAUAGAAGAGUAUUUUCUCAUGAGACAGAGUGUCCUCAGGAAUUGGUGCAAGUAUCCAAAGAGAUUUUGAAGAAAUGUGGUGGCAUACCAUUAGCUAUUAUUUCUAUAGCAAGUCUUCUGGCUAAUAAUCCUCAGAUAAUAACAGAGGAUCAAUGGUAUGAUUUGCUCAAUUCCAUUGGCCGUGGGCUCACAGAAGAUCAAACAUCUUCCCAGAAGACCAAGAUUAUGAAAGACAAGCUAAUAUGGAGAUGGAUAUCAGAAGGAUUUCUUAACGAUGAAAAACAAGAAGCUAGCUUAUAUGAGCUUGGUAACAGGUACUUCAACGAACUAGUAAAUAGAAGUAUGGUCCAGCCAAUAUGCAAUGAUUAUGAAGAUGAAAAAAGGGUAGAAGCUUGCCGUGUACAUGACAUGGUACUUGACCUCAUAAGCUCAUUGUCAAGUCAAGAAAACUUUGUCACAAUAUUGGAUGUCACCAGAAGAAAAAUGCCUAACCCAAGAAGCAAGGUCCGCAGAAUGUCCAUCCAAAAUAGCAAGAUAGAUGUGGAUACCACUAGGAUGGCACAUAUGAGGUCACUUACAGUAUUUGCAAAUAAUGUUGUUGGGGAAGUGUUGGAUAUUUCAAGUUGUCAAGUUUUGCGUGUGUUGGAUUUAGAAGGUUGUGAUGUCUCAGAUAUUGGGUAUGUGGGGAAUCUGUUACAUUUGAGGUACUUGGGAUUAAAAGAGACACAUGUUGAGGAUCUACCCAUGGAAAUAGGAAAGCUACAGUUUUUGAUUACCUUGGACUUAAGAGGUGUGUGUGACACGGACCUCAAUGUUGUGAAAGAGUUGGGGCGUCUGACAAAGCUCAAGGUUCUCCGGGUUUUAUAUGAUCAGUUGGAUGAGAGCUCAGAUAAAGCUUUGGAGGAAUCCCUUGGUUAUUUGAAGCAACUGGAAAGUCUAUGGAUAGAGAUAUUUGCCACUGAUGACUGCAUCAAUUUCAUGAGCGAUGUCUGGGUGCCCCCUUCACAGCUUCGUAGGUUGGAUUUCCCAUACAGCCGGUUCUUGAUACUGCCGGCAUGGAUUAAUCCUUCAUUGCUUCCUGUCCUCACCUAUCUUCGUAUCUUCGUGGAUGAAGUUCGAUCGGAUGUCCUCGAGCUUCUUGGGAAGCUUCCUGCUCUUUGUGUUCUCGAGAUAACGGAUUUCUCUAAGUUCAAUGGAGAGCAUCUGAUGGUAAUGCCUACCCUUUCCUCCGGUGCGAACACAUUAUUCCCACGUGCGACACAUUGCAGCUUCCUUAGUAUUGGUGCCGUGCCGUCAAUGUUCCCUCAAGGAGCUGCACCGAUGCUGAAACACCUUACGUACGCCUUCUCAGCUAAGUGGAUCUCCAGUGAGAACUUAGAUUUGGACAUGGGGCACCUCCCAUCCCUCGAGCGACUCAAUGUUAUGGUUUUCAAUGAGGAAGCUAGCGAUUGGGAGGUGGAAGAAGCACAGGAUGUGCUUUGGGACGCAAGGGAUUACUACCCCAACCAUCUCGACAUGCAGAUAGACCUGAUGGGUUGA